GUCUACAUAGCGCGGCACAUACGAUAGUCACUGUGAACGCCUCUGACGAAACCGGUUCGGGACGCCGCCGGCAUACGAAUGUACUAUCCUCCGAACAUAUCUUCCGUCUUUCAUCAACGCUUUAACAUCACAUAAAUCUAACCCGCUCGCUCGCUCGGGACAACUUCACGGCGCUUCGCGACCCGGCCAAUGACAGCGCGGGCUACCAUCGCCAUAUUGAAUGACGCGAUCGACCCGCCACCUAUCUGAACUAAUGCGAAGGACGCGUCACGACGCUUUCCGUAUUGUUUUUGUGUGUUUUUCCUAAUUUUAACAUGUUUCCAUGGUUAUUUCAAUGUGAAAUCUGUGCGUGGUUACGUGUUUGAGUUUAUUAUGAAGACAGGUAUUACGUACAUACGGAAUACGCGUAAAUAACAAACACAGGCUGUUGGUGGGAAUCCCGUGUAAUCCGGGCCACUUAUCACGCGUGCAAAAUGCAAAUUCAAACGGGCCCGGUCGUACGCAGAAUUAACGAAAGCGCAAAACUGGCCGACGCGGUAGCUACCUACUAUCGUGCGUCAGGAAAAUUGUCAAAGUUCGCGCAGCAUUACCGAAGGAUAAACAAGAUAAUCUCACCCGCCCCGGCUAUUUGGCAGCCGCUGGAUACAGGAGUCGUAGGACCGGACAAGUACAGAACUAGCUACACUACAAAAGGUUUACGUCCCAGCAGGACGUCCGUCGGCUGAUGUGAUCUAUACCUACAUCCAUACGUACAUGUGAGAUUAAGUCUAUAGUAGUUUUCAAUCAACUAGCUAAGACCGAAGCUGGACGAAAUUAGAAGAUAACCAAUUUUGAAAUAGAUAGCAUAACUACCAUACUCUGAAGAAAGAAAGAAAAAAGAAGAGGAUUCUUGAAUAGUCAAACACAUUACCAGAGUAGAAAGAAACAUCUACAGAAACUUGGAAUAAUUUGCAAAGUUAAAAGGAAGACGACAUUGCAGCAAUCAGUUAUUUAGAAUGUGAGACAAGAAGAUAUUAAGGUACCAGCAGAGGAUUUGGAGGGAAUUGAGACGAUAUCAACGAUUGGAACAAGCCUUACUACCUUCAGACAGCCUGAAAGAAUUUCACGGAAAGAAGUUUUCUACCUGUCUGCCAAACUUCUAUUUGAGGAGUCACCCGAUGAUUGUAUUUUUUCUCUGGGCCCGAGUUCCGGAGAUGGCGAGCUUUCGUGGCACACAAAAAGAAAGUACGCACACCGAUGCAACUUAUAUUUAUCACUUCACAGCUGCACACCUAUGAUCGAUCCUUAUUCAAGAUGGCCGCCGGCACAGGCGGGAAUCAACUCGCACACUCCCCUCCCGCACCGCGGCCCGUCAAUCUCACCACUGCACCGAUUAAUUAAUAAACUUUGUGUUUUAAUAAGUAAUUUAAAUAAAAAUUCAUGAUACGUGUACACUCUAACACGAUUUUUGACUCACUAAAAGUCAAAAAACUUGGCGUAUUCAAAACUUGAAAGUCAUAAAACAUAUUCUCCCCCAUUAUUAGUUUAUGGCUAGCGACUGUUGCGGGGCUAUUAUGUCGUUAUUUUUGUGUGUUAUUCAACGUUUGUUUUGAUUGUGUGCGGUGCGGACGAGCCAAUUUGGGGUACCAUUAGGAACUAUUGAGUACUUACGUGGCAUUCUUUAUGAAUGUUGCUCAAGGUCGUCAUUGUUGUAAACUACUUACCUCACUAAGACCUGUUAAGACGAAUUUCACAAACUGAAUAAAUACCAAGUAACAAACAAAAAAAUGCACAUUUUUUAAUGUUUUGAGUAAUUACACUUGACUUUUUAUUGUUAACUGUGGUAAGCAUAACCUACCUAUUAGUUAGGUAUACAUUUUAUGUAUCAAUCAAGUCAUACUUAUUGCCUAUAACUACUCUAACUAAUAUCAAACAAUUUAUUAUGUAAAAAAUUUUAGCUCUUCUAGGUAAAUUUAAAAAAUGUUUUAAUAUUUUUAAGCCAUUUUUACUAAUUUUAAUAUAGAAUUAAGUAAAGCAGAUAUAAAUAUAGAUAUAAAAAAGAUAUAUAUACGUACAAAGUGUCAGUAUGUAAAUAAGCUGGAAAUAAUUUACAUUCGGAUCGCGUCGAUAACAUAAAGUAGAGCAGUCUUCAAGUCGGGCGCCAUGAGUCAAUGUUGCGUCACUCCGUAUUUUACCGUGCCGGAGAUUUAUAAACAGUUUGUAUGCAAUAUAGGAACGCGUUGGUGAUCUUAUAUUAUUUUGUUUUUUUUAAUAAUCUAUUUAAAAAAUACAUAUAUUUGUAACAAAAAACAUAGAUUAUUUAUCUACCUUUUUCUUUUUGGUAUUGCCUACUAUACUGUAAGGAAACGUUGUAGGUUAUAUUUUAUUUAAAAAUGUAUAGGCCCCAGCACUAGAUUUCUGGAUGUUUACAAAGGUUUAGGUCACUUUAGGGUUAGCUGGCAAUGUGUGCAAAAGUUUUUUAUACUAAAAGAUUUUUUUUACUUAUUAGGUAUAAAAUCGUUGGAUGUGUGUAACAUCCUGGUAUACAUAUUGAGUUAUUAAUUUAUUAAUUGCUUUCUUUUUAUGUAUUUAUCACAAUUAAUGAGAUUGACAUCUCUACUUUGACUUUAGUUUGGAUUAGUAGGUACCUAUUGACUGUAGAUGUUGAAGCCUCCUUCGAAAUUUAAGGCCUCCAGUUAUAGUUUCAAGCUCGGAUUCAAACACAGAACCUCUAUAUUGUCAAUCAAGCCUUUACCAACGAUUGCCGGCGACUUUUUUUUUUUUAAAUAAAAAUAACAAAAAAAAAUUAUAUUAUUUUAAUAUCAUUGCGCCAACAACAGUGUCGUCUUUUGUAAAAAUUUCCCACCGAGGUUAUUUAUAACUAUUCUAUUCAAUGCUAAUCAACUUUUAGUCAAACGACGUUUUUCCAGACAUCACACAAUUAGUCACGAUUAAGUUAUUAUAUUCAUAAUACUAAGAUUUAUAUGCUAUGCGUAGUUUAGACUAGUCUAGUAAGAAGGUAGGUUGUUAUUAGUAUUAUGUAAGUAUAAGCCUUAAUAGCGCUAUUCGAUUUAAUAGCUCUAUGGUAAAGGUUCUGGACUCAUAUUAAAAAAGUCUGCAGUUCUAUUCCCGCCAUUUGUUUUCGUACACACUUUUAGCCCAAGCUUAAAUGGUGGGGAAAAAUUAAGGUUAUGUUUAGAAGGUAUCAUUUUUUUAUAUUAAAAACAUUCCGUUGUUGAAAUGUUGCAGGUAAGUAUACUUGAAGCCAUAGGUAGUAGAAAGCGCAAUAGGAGGUAUUAACUUCGAUUGAACGACGAAGAAGGUAUUAACUUCGAUUGAACGACAAGCGGCAUCUAGCGAAAUAUAAAUCCGUGGCAAGCGUGCAGUCGAGCGCAGUUGUAUACAAAGUAAAAAAAUACUGCGUUUAGUAAAAAGUUGUGAGAUAGUUAUCAAUGUACCUAUUAAAAAUGUUUACAUGGCUUCAUCAGUGAAAUACACAUGGCUCAGUUAAAAUGAGUAAAUUAAUUUUUAAUAAUUUUUCUGUCUACAUUUUAUUUGUUUGUUUUUUCAAGUCUUUAAAUAGUUUCAGUGCGUAUCUUAUACUGAAAAUAGGUAAAUUAAUUAUACCCAUAGGAUCGUCCCGGUGGAGUAGACCUUUCGAAUAAACUUGUUCGAAGGCAACUUUUUAAUUUUUUCCUAUAUAAGUUUUGUUUGUAUUUUAACUAUAGGUACCUACUAAGUAGGUUAUAAGUGCGUAUAUUAUUCUAAAAAUAGGUUCACUAUUUGUAUAGGAACGUCCUAGUGGGGUGAGACCUUUCGAAUCGACUUGUUUGAAGGCAACUUUCGUUCAAGGUUCAACCGCAUUAUCGCACGUUUUAAAUAAUUGGAGGCCGACCAUUAUUAUAAAGAUUGGGUAUGGGCUCUACUUACAAAUUACUAGAGAACACCGCCGGCCACUCUGAGACCUUGGACUUUUAUAAUAACUAUGCUAUUGGAGUUAUUGUCUUAUAGCUAGCUACUGUUCAUUAUAUUCACUACAGAACUUAUCUGAAGGUUUUUGGAAUGAAAUUCUUUUAUGCCUAUAUCACGCAACG